CUGGAGGCCAGGGCUGAGGGAAGGCCUGGAGCAGAGCCGGUGCGCGACUCCGCAGUGAGCAGGGAGGGCAGGCUGGGGACGUUCACCACCCAGAACGCCUCUGCUCCCCGCAACCCUGAGACUCCAGGCUCCCCUGUUCCUCCCUCCGGGAGACCCUGCCCGUCCUCCCCGCGGGGCUCCUUCGCAGUUCGGGGGAAGGGGCAGGUUGCGUCCUCGGGACCUUUCUCUGCAGCCACAGCAGCGCAUCCCAGCACCUCCUCCAAGAGCCCCGCCACCUCCUGCCACCCGGACUUUCCCCACAGCGCAGCGUCCCCUCGUCCUCUCAGGGCUGGAACAGCGGUACCCGCAGACAGUGCAAAAGGGAAGUCCCUGUUGCCUUCCCAUGCAAACUGUAGGGCGCUUACAGCUGCUGGGAGAGGAAAGGAAAGAAGAAAUACAAGCCUGUGACCCGGAUCCAGCCCGCGGCGCACAGACCCCGGCUCUGGGCACCCCUGGUGAGCGCCUUCUGCGCCAGAGCUCCGUACAGCACCAGCCCGCGCUCUCCCCCAGCUUCUGUUCAUUUGCUGCAGUCCUGACGGGUCAGUUGCCUGAGCAUCCAUGCUGCCAUCCAUACAAACCCAGGCACGCAGAGAUGUACAUCCUUUACCCAGGGUGACACCAUGUGGAGCUGAAUCCAAGUCCGGGAGUCUGAUGACCGUGUCUGGGCUCUCUCUGACCGCGCAGCCGUCUCACAGUGAAACAAAUUGCGGACUGGCCUUAUCCUGAGUGGCCUUAGGAAGCUGCAGUGGCCUGCAGUCUCCUGGCCAGUCUGUAGAAUUUGGCAAAGAUGAGGCACCUUAUAGCCUUACAUGUUCUUAUUUUUCUUUCCUUUUCUCUUCUUUAUUUUCUUUUUUAAGGAUUUGAAUUAGUAUAUGUAAAGUGCUUAAUGCAGGAGCUGGCAGAGAAAGUGGAUACUCAGUAAAUAACAGCAAUUGUUAAUUGUAAAAAGCAUGCCAUUUAUCUGGUAAAAUCCCCCAUUCUAAGCACCCUGUUAAGUAGUUGGUAAUUCCUCACUUGAAAGAAAUUAAAAAGAAUUUUUGUCAGUUUUUUAAAA
rnacentral:lncRNA from 1 species